UCCGAGUUCCCAGAACAAAAUCGAAUAUGUUUUGAGAGCACAAAAAAAAUAUUAGAAUAUAAAAGACAUCUGGGAGAUUGUGUCUAAACCAGGUCAGUCUCGUUGAACGGUCGAAACUGAUCAGUCGUAUUAUUCGCUCGGAUAUUUCAUUUCAUUUUCUAUAUAGCUACAUUUAAUCAAGAUGAAUAAUUCGGUAGAAGAUGAAUUGAUAUCGAUCGAAGCCACGGCCAUCUUCAUCAUUUGGAAAGCUGAAACGCCAAAACCGCCAGUCACAUCGGAGCCUGCCAAAUGUUGUCCAUUCCGGUCCUUCACGUCGUCCGUUUAUUCAAAAUGAACGUGGCAACAUAAAUGCGCACCUAUGGGAAACCGCGAAACAAACUUGAGAGUAUCCUUGAAAAAUGUAGAUACGCAAGGAACGCAACUAACAUUAUUCUUUUAUAAACUACACUGUAAAUUAAUGCGAAUUAAAAGGAAAAAUACACUCGGUCGUCGUAUUA